AGAACGAACGCUGGCGGCGUGCCUAACACAUGCAAGUCGAGCGAGAAAGUCCCUUCGGGGGCGAGUAGAGCGGCGGACGGGUGAGUAAUACAUAGAUAAUCUCCCUUCGAGCUCGGGAUAACCCUGCGAAAGCGGGGCUAAUACCGGAUAAGACCACGUGGCCCAGGCCAUGCGGUAAAAGGUUGCCUUAAUUUCGGUUGAGGCUAUCACUUGUGGAUGAGUCUAUGGCCUAUCAGCUUGUUGGUGAGGUAAAAGCUCACCAAGGCUAUGACGGGUAGCUGGUCUGAGAGGACGACCAGCCACACUGGGACUGAGACACGGCCCAGACUCCUACGGGAGGCAGCAGUGGGGAAUAUUGGGCAAUGGGCGAAAGCCUGACCCAGCGACGCCGUGUGGGUGAUUGAAGGCCUUCGGGUUGUAAAGCCCUGUCAGGUGGGAAGAAGGGCUCAGAGACGAAUAAUCUUUGAGUCUUGACGGUACCACCGGAGGAAGCACCGGCUAACUCCGUGCCAGCAGCGGC
rnacentral:rRNA from 1 species